GACGAACGCUGGCGGCGUGCUUAACACAUGCAAGUCGGACGGUAAGGCCCUUCGGGGUACACGAGUGGCGAACGGGUGAGUAACACGUGGGUGAUCUGCCCUGCACUUCGGGAUAAGCCUGGGAAACUGGGUCUAAUACCGGAUAGGACUCCUGGCUUCAUGGUUGGGGGUGGAAAGCUUUUGCGGUGUGGGAUGGGCCCGCGGCCUAUAAGCUUGUUGGUGGGGUAAUGGCCUACCAAGGCGACGACGGGUAGCCGGCCUGAGAGGGUGACCGGACACAAUGGGACUGGGAUACGGCCCAGACUCCUACGGGAGGAAGCAGUGGGGAAUAUUGCACAAUGGGCGCAAGCCUGAUGCAGCGACGCCGCGUGAGGGAUGACGGCCUUCGGGUUGUAAACCUCUUUCAGCUAUGACGAAGCGCAAGUGACGGUAGUAGCAGAAGAAGGACCGGCCAACUACGUGCCAGCCGCCGCCGUAA
rnacentral:rRNA from 1 species